GACAGAGGGUGCAAACGUUGUUCGGAAUUACUGGGCGUAAAGCGCGUGUAGGCGGUCGGGCAAGUCGGAUGUGAAAGCCCAGGGCUCAACCCUGGAAGUGCACUCGAUACUGCUCGGCUAGAGUCCCGGAGAGGAUGGUGGAACUCGUCGGUGUAGAGGUGAAAUUCGUAGAUAUCGAGAAGAACACCGGUGGCGAAGGCGGCCAGUCUGGACGGUGACUGACGCUGAGACGCGAAAGCGUGGGGAGCAAACAGG
rnacentral:rRNA from 1 species